GUCAAGGUGGACGAGUGUUUAUCGUGAUGGACUACUAAUCCAUUGUGCUCUGCAUGCAUGGGUUCAAGUCCCAUCCUCAUCA
rnacentral:tRNA from 1 species